rnacentral:rRNA from 1 species
AUGCACAUGAUGGCGAGGCGAGAGCGAGAUGUGGAUUUUUUCUUCAAGUACUUGGUAGACGAGCAUGGCCAUCUGAAGGGACUGUUCUGGGCUGAUAGUCAAUCGCGACUUGACUACGAGGCUUUCGGAGACGUCAUUGUUUUCGAUAGCACAUACAGAACCAACAAAUACAAUCUGCCAUUCGUGCCUUUUGUCGGGUUGAAUCACCACCGCAGCACUGUUAUAUUUGGCUGUGGUAUAAUUUCUCAUGAAACAAGCCAGGCAUAUGAGUGGAUGUUGCGGACCUUUUCUGAUUGCAUGGCACAGAAGCAUCCGAUAUUUGUGAUCACAGAUGGGGACCUUGCAAUGCAGAGAGCAAUAAGGGUGGUCUGGCCAGACUCAAACCAUAGACUAUGUAUAUGGCACAUUCAGCAGAACAUUGUACGUCAUCUGCAUGAUGACGACGUAAACGAGGAAUUCAGAUCUUUCAUUUAUGAUACUUCUUCCAUUGAAGAGCAUGAGAUAAAAUGGAUACAAUUCUUAGAACGGAAUAAAGUAACCAGUGAGGAGUCUUGGCUGCAUCAGAUGUAUCAGAUGAGAAAGUUGUGGUGUGCUCCAUAUCUUGAGGGGCGUUGUUUCCUAGGAUUGAGCAGCAAUCAGAGGAGUGAGAGCUUGAACUCUGUGCUACAUACGCAUCUUGAGGGUAAGAUGUCGUUGUUUGAAAUGCUAGAGCAGUAUGAGCGUUGCCUUGCGUCACCACGGAUUAACGAAGCUCUCCAUGACGUCGAAGCCUUGCAGUCCGUUCCAUUUACAGAGGAAAAUGCUUCGCCGCUUGAGAAACACGCCGCAACAGUUUUCACACCUAGUGUCUUUAAGAUGGUCUUAUGGAGCAUAGAUGCUGUCAGCAAAUGUCAGAUUAGAGAGAUACUAGAUGGAUCAGAAGAUUCCACUUAUGUUGUGUCCAAGCAGGAAAGAAUGGAUAAAAAGUUUGGAGUGCGCAUUGAAGAGCAAGGAGGUCUUUUGCACAGGGUGAGUUGUUCUUGCCGUAAGCUGGAAUGCGCAGGCACACCAUGUUCCCACAUUUUUUACAUAUUAGGGAUUUUAAAACAAACAAUUCUGCCCGGUUGUUGCGUUCCCACUAGGUGGACUAUGAAUGCAAAAUGUGCAUACGCACCUACCAGAAAAACCCAGAUGUAUGACUAUUCGCUAAGCCUGCAGAGGUACCGCGAGUUGCGGAAUUGUAGUCACGCCGCAAGUUUCCAGGCAUGCCACUCUGAUGAGGACUAUCACCGUCUAAAGAUGCUUUUGCAAGCACAACAUCAUGACAAGCAAUCAAGUUUUGAACAAGCUGACAGCAAGGAGUCAACUAAUGCUCAGCAUAACAACAUUAGGUUUGGCCCGUUGAUGCUGCACUCGCAGAAAGUUGAUAAGGUUCUGGAUCCCGUGCAUGUGCCAGGACGAGGUGCACCGAAGAAAAGGCUGCAGGCAAAGACAAAGAAGUCAAGAUCACAGAAUAUCUGUGGCUAUUGCAAGAAACCAGGUCACAAUCAACGUAAAUGC